rnacentral:rRNA from 1 species
UACGAAGGGGGCUAGCGUUGCUCGGAAUUACUGGGCGUAAAGGGCGCGUAGGCGGACAUUUAAGUCAGGGGUGAAAUCCCGCAGCUCAACUGCGGAACUGCCUUUGAUACUGGGUAUCUUGAGUAUGGAAGAGGUGAGUGGAAUUCCGAGUGUAGAGGUGAAAUUCGUAGAUAUUCGGAGGAACACCAGUGGCGAAGGCGGCUCACUGGUCCAUUACUGACGCUGAGGUGCGAAAGCGUGGGGAGCAAACAGG